rnacentral:snRNA from 1 species
UUGUUUCAGCAACACAUAGACUAAAUUUGGACUGAUAUGCAAAUUAGUAUGACCCUUAUGCAAAGAUGACAUGCAAAUUGGUGAAAUAUUUCACCUUUUU